UUAGUUUGUUAUUCAUUUUCAUUUAGGUGAAUGUUUUCUUCUUUCUUCUUUUUUUUUUUGAGCAAGUAGUUGAAUUUUCUACCAGUCUCUCUAUAGAAGAAGACUAUCACUAUACAUACUUCCAGGGCAUUAGACUAUGCAUGUGUGUCUUCUAUUGCACAGGAACUGGAAUAAAUUGUUUUACUUAGAAGUCUAUCAAGAAAUACCCAUAUGCCCUUAAAUGUUGGUAUUUCAUUGUUCAGGGAAACUCAGUGGCUUCAAUGGGUUCAUUUAAACGAUUGAAACAAGUAAGGAGGAUGGUGGAAGAAUGCAUGUUAAAUAAAAUGCAUCCCUUGUACAACAUCAAAGUCUCCAAUGGAGAGAGGUUGCCUUUAGGAGUUAAAGAAUUGGGAACAUGGCUGUGAUUUAGCUAUCUGUGAUGUAUAUAAAUAUAACUAGUCAACUUCUUCUAUUGCAAGGAUGAAAUGUUUCUUUACAGGAAGAACUUUUCUAGAAAGAUGAAGCCCAAAAGAUCUUGAACAAGUUGGUGGUUUGCUGAAUAAGAAGCUUAAAAUUUUGAAUGAUGGAAUGAAUAUUAUGAAGGUAUCAGCUCGUUACUAGCACCUGUGAAAGAUGACUACAAUAAUCGUGAAGCUGUAUGAAGGAAAAUCAUGAUGAUUCUUGUUACAACUGCACUUGUUUUAAUCUGUUAGUUACUAUAAAUUCAAUACUCAGUUCCUAUUAAACAUGUAAUGGUGCUCUUUUGUAUGCUAGAAAUCUUCCGGAAUAAUCUAGAAGCAUCAUCCACCUGUUUGUUCUCAACAUACAAAGAAGCCACACCAUUCUAUAAUCUUCCCCACCUGUCUCCGUUGCUAAUUAAUCUCUCUGAUAUCCCCUAAUUUCACCCCAGUUUUCUCACUUCACCGUUUAGGGUUCUUGGUUUCUUCCCGAUGAUGAAGUGUUUCAGUAUUUUCAGUUCCAGAACCAAAAGAAAAGGGGAAUCUUCACCGGAGCUCCAUGAGCAAAACCCAUCAAUGAAACCACCGACAAGAUUAGUAAAUUCAUCUGGAUCAAUCACUUCACCAAUAUUGUACAAUUUCGUAAUAAUAAGUAAUAAUAUGAUUCAACAGCAUGUAUGUACAAACACUAUAAAACAGGGCCCACUUGUGCCAACUUUCUUGAAAUUUUUUCUAUUUUUUUAUUUGAAUUGAUAUUCAAAAUCUUGUUUUGUUUUAAAAAUAGAUUGUUUCAGUAACCUUGGAGAAUUUUAUGGACACACCAAACACUGACCAUGGAUCAUCAUUAUUGGAUGUAAACAAGAUGAUCACAAAUUUUGUUAACUUUCAAACGGAUGUUCCCAUGGGGGAUGCAAACAAAAACCCCUCUUAUUGGUCGAGUGUUUGCUUUCAUAAUUAAUAUGGCCAUUUUAGCAAAGGAGGCAACAACUGUUAGACGUGUACUUGAACCUCUUUUUCAAAAUUUUUCUUUUUUACCAAGUUGUCCAGGUGUUUGGAAACUUCAUAUAAAACUGGUUGUUGCAAGUUGUCAUGGGCUUUUUUUUAAAUAAGCUGUUUCUUCUUGUUGGAUGUCAAUAGUGGCCUCACAGUUUUGAGGUAGACCGUUGACUUUUGGUAAUAUGAUUUUGAUUAGUUUGAUGUUGGUUGAAAGAUUUGUGGGAAUUGAGGGUAGUCUUUUGAGGUUUUUUGGUGUGGAAACGAAUGAGAUUUUGAUACCAUGAGCAAUGCGUGUCCACCUUGUAUAAAUGAUAAAAUAGAAAGAUUAGUAAAUUCAUCUCGUGAGAUGAUGAUAAUUUACUUAAAAAUAUGAGAACAGUCGGAAUCAACACAUGGACAACUUGGUAAUAUGAUUCAUAAAAACGUCAGUAAAGUUAGUUGCUGCUGUUGAAUCUAAUACAAUACAUCCAAUUGGAAAAGCUAUUCGGGAAGCUGCUAAGGUUGCUAAAUGUCCCAAUGUAAAGGCUGAUGAUGGAACAUAUAUGGAGGAACCUGGUUCUGGUGCAGUAGCUUCAGUUGGGAAGAAGAUACUUUCUGUUGGAACAUUGGUAUGGGUUAGGAGGCAUGGAGUUAAUGAAAACCCAUUUGUGGAAAUGGAAGAGUUCAAAAACCAAUCAGUGGUGUAUGUAGGAAUAGAUGGUGUUCUUGCAGGUCUUAUUUAUGUUGAAGAUCAAAUAAGAGAAGAUGUUGCACACGUUAUUCAAUCUUUGACCAGUCAAAUCUUCAAUGUAUACUUACUUUCUGGUGAUAAAAAAAAGUUCAGCUCAAUAUGUCGCAUCAAUAGUUGGAAUCCCAAAACAACAGGUAAUAAAUAUUAAUAAUAACAACACAACAAUUCUUAAUCAAUUUAAACAAAAAAAGAUUUCAUGAUGAUAUUAUUUGUGUUUUUAUGUCAUUUUUCAUAUUCGAGGGUAUAUUAUGUUUUUAUGAAUCAUGACUUGGUAUUUUAAUAACAUAUGGAAUCAGAUGGGAAGGUUUUAGCAACAGCAGCAGCUCAAUUAAACAUCUUCAGCUGUUCAGAUCGCAAAAAGAUGCAGAAAUUUAUGGGCAUCCUGAAAGUUUCUGUGUUGAACCGAAAACGAGACUAAAUGACCAUUUUACCGUUCUUCUAUAUAUGACACAAGUGCAAUACUGCAAUUAUAUAUCAAUCAUGGUAUUAAGUUUUUAGAUUUUGAAUGUUUUAACAUUUGAAUGGAUGAUAAACAUUAUAAGAUACAAAUAAAUAAAAGUGCUCUAUUAUAUCUUGCAUUUAUCUUUAUCUUGAUAUUAGGCCAUAUAAAACAUCUAAAUGGAUGAUAAGCGUUAUAAAACCCGAAAGCCUUAACAUAUGAGUGGAUGAUUGGCCUUAUAAAACUUUUGGGUUCUUUAUGUUACUUGAUUGAUGAAGGCUACAUUGAGAUUAAAAGGUGAAUGUUUAGGUGUAUGAGUGUAGCUUACCUUUACUUGUUUCUAUAGGUUGUAGAAGCACCUCAUGGUGAUCUUAUGGCAUGCAUGAAGAUGGCCAAGGUACUUAAAUUUCAUUGAUUGAAACAUAAUUAUUUUAUAAUUUUUUUGGUUAAUUUUAUAUUGAUGUCAUGUUCAAUUAACAAAUUGUCAAAAUUCCAU